AUGUUCUUUGAUGUGUUGGCCAAGUUCCCCCAAAGAAAGAUCAUUCAGUACAGUUCUCUCUUAGAUCUGAUUCUGAUGACGGUCUGGUUUGACAUUAUAGGACUUCUAUUAUGGAACUGUGAGACAUCCAUGAACACCUACCUAAUACAAAUUAAGCAAAGCCUUCAGCUCCUCAAGUUGCUUUCCAUAAUGCUGCUCUGCUCUGCUCUGCACUGCUCGCGGAGCCAGUGGUGAGCAGCUUGCUCAUCCUUCAGCUUCUCCUUCCGCGCGCCUACUGAAGGAGUUUGUGGAGAGAACUACAGCUCCUGUCUUUCACGGCAGUAACGCCCAGCAGCUGCAGCCUCUUGGACGAAUGUGCUGACGGCCUGUCACUUGGACCAUGGAGAAUAAUUAAGAAUGUAGUGAACGAGUAAGUUAAAGCAGAAUAUUUCAGAUUUGUAAGAGCUUGCAAGAGUUGAGGUGCAGUCCCAGGAAAGCAGUUUGCUAUAGAAGCUAUCAGUCAAAGAGACCAUCCUGUAUUUGGGGACAAAAAAAGAAGAUCCUUAAGUCUUAAUUGGUUUAGUUCUUCUUCAAAUGUCACUCAAUCCUAAAGACCUAAAACUGAAAAUCACUAGUAUUUUAAAUUAUGUACCUGAUAGAAAUAUAGCUAUUUUAAUAAUGGAGAUCCACACCUGCAGUUUGACCUGUAAAGAAGACUACCUAAUUAGAUAUCAGGUAAUGUUUUUUAAAGAAUCUGCUGGAACUGAAAGAGUCUGCAUUUUAUCAAUUUUAGGGUAAUUUGUAAUUUUAUCCUUAUGUCUUUUAUUUAGUUUCUUUCUGUUAUUUUUUAGAGCUGUUUGAGGUGUUUUGAGUUAUAAGGGUUCUUUGUAAAAUGUUUAUUCAUCCUUUUAAUAUUUGACCAGAGUCAUGCAUAAUCCUGAAAUAAACAGGUUUUAAAUCCAGGAUAUAUG
rnacentral:lncRNA from 1 species